rnacentral:sRNA from 1 species
GUCACUAUUGAAACUUUGAGAUGUUUGAGUACCUGACCCAUAUUUUAUUUAUAAUAAUACCCCCAGUUGUAAGUGAAAACUGAUGCCCAAGAAUGGUUGUUGAGUAAAACAAAAAAUAAAUGAAUAAAUGAAGUAGAAUUACGGAAGAUAAAAGUGUAGCUAGAGGUUAUGUUGAGGACUGAGAGCAGGUGCAGAAAUUAAAGGAUUAGUGGUGGUGGGGACUACUGGACAGGAAUCAAAAUUUCAAAUGUACAGUCUUGUAGGUGAGUCAAUUCCUAGGGUUAAUGAAGACAUACUGUAUGUGUGGCUGUUGUCAAAGUAGGGAGAUAGCCUUGGGAGGAGGGUUGUCCUGUUUCAUAUGCCCACAAGUAGGCAUGUAUAUCUUAGAUAUCUUAGACCCUUCCACUCUAAGGAACAUGGACCAUUUGCUCUUUGAAUGACAUUUCUUGCCACUGCUUUUAUACCCUUUUUGCUACUUGUGUUCCAAAUGCAAUGCCUCAGGGAAAACACUUGAGGUUUUUCCUUUAAUCAGAGCUUAGCUCUGUGUCCUCAUAGCCUGCUUGCUGCUGUUGCAUCAUAUCCCACCUUUAGCCAGGCUUCAACAUGCUUUAGUAUUCAGUUGUUGAGGAAAUAGUCCUCGUUGAAUAAUCAAGCUGCCACAUUCAUGCUACAUAAUUACAGUGAUUGCUCUCCGAAGAUAAUCCCAUUACAGAUAUGUUUCUCUUCUUGGGUAGACCCUGGGGAAAUGAGUCAAUUUCUAAAUAAAUACCAUUGUAUUUUGAAUAAUUAAAAUAAGCAUAAGUCUUUGAAAGAUUUGUAUAAAUUUUCCACAUGGGAAAGAAAUUCUUGUCACAGUCAGAAGAGAUACAGUAUGUCAUGUUCUCCUGUUAUUGUUCAUGACUAAAAUACAAGCAAAUAAUAUAUUCUACAUAUACUAUGCCACAAAUGUUGCCUCUAAUGAAAUAUUGACUCAUCAAGGAUAACUAUUGUAACAUGUACAUAUAUAAGAAUUGAUAGGCAAUGAAAUAUGUGAUAGUUAAAGACAUGAUAUUUUAACAAUUUUUUUAUUCUUAUUAUACUCCCAUGUCAAUCAAUUUAAAGUUUUAAAAUUCUGAGUCAUGUGUUUUGGCAAUCAAAUGGUCUGUAACUUUGGAAAUUUGGUAGCAUUUCCAAAACUGUGAACAUACUCAAAUGCUUAUUUUCAUUUAAAACAAAGAUUUUUAAAAAUGUUUUAUAGUCUGAGACAAAGAUUUAAUUUUCAGCUGACUAAUUAAAAUUUGUGCAUGUAAUUUAUUCAUCAUUGAUGGAAUUUAAUCAGAAAUAACUCAAAUAUGAAUCAGAGGAAGAAAUAACUAAUAAUAUAUCUAAAUUAACAUUGUCCAAUAUAGUAAUUUCAGUUUUUGUAAUCUACAGACCUGUUCGCCUUAUUCCUAUUUUGAAACAUGUAGGAUAUAUGUUUUUUAAAGUAGAAGUAUUUUUUACUUGACUUUGUUUUCCAUUUGUCAGGUGUUUUGCAAUAUGGAUGUCAAUGGGGGAGGUUGGACUGUAAUACAACAUCGUGAAGAUGGAAGUCUAGAUUUCCAAAGAGGCUGGAAAGAAUAUAAAAUGGGUUUUGGAAAUCCCUCCGGUGAAUAUUGGCUGGGGAAUGAGUUUAUUUUUGCCAUUACCAGUCAGAGGCAGUACAUGCUAAGAAUUGAGUUAAUGGACUGGGAAGGGAACCGAGCCUAUUCACAGUACGACAGAUUCCACAUAGGAAAUGAAAAGCAAAACUAUAGGUAAGUCAUGUUACAGUGUAGUGUUCGACUACCUUUGACCUAGCCACUUAAUAAUUGUAGUGGGAAAAUAUGAAAAAAAGAAAUGAAAAUCAUCCUUCAAAAUGAAAAUUGUUUUUUUUGUCUAGACCUGUUACAAAGAAAUACAAAAAAGCCUGUAAAGA